GCCUAACACAUGCAAGUCGAGGGGUAACAGAGAGAAGCUUGCUUUUCUGCUGACGACCGGCGCACGGGUGAGUAACGCGUAUACAAUCUGCCUUAUACAGAGGGAUAGCCUUUAGAAAUGAAGAUUAAUACCUUAUAGUCUAUUUUUAUAGCAUUAUAUAAAUAGUAAAGCUUCGGUGGUAUAAGAUGAGUAUGCGUCCUAUUAGUUAGUUGGUAAGGUAACGGCUUACCAAGACAACGAUAGGUAGGGGCCCUGAGAGGGGGAUCCCCCACACUGGUACUGAGACACGGACCAGACUCCUACGGGAGGCAGCAGUGAGGAAUAUUGGACAAUGGAGGCAACUCUGAUCCAGCCAUGCCGCGUGCAGGAAGACGGCCCUAUGGGUUGUAAACUGCUUUUAUAUAGGAAGAAACCUUUUCACGUGUGAGAAGCUGACGGUACUAUAAGAAUAAGGACCGGCUAA
rnacentral:rRNA from 1 species